GGCGGCGUGCUUAACACAUGCAAGUCGAACGAUGAACCGGCUUCGGCCGGGGAUUAGUGGCGAACGGGUGAGUAACACGUGGGCAAUCUGCCCUGCACUCUGGGACAAGCCCUGGAAACGGGGUCUAAUACCGGAUAUGACACGCUCCCGCAUGGGAUGCGUGUGGAAAGCUCCGGCGGUGCAGGAUGAGCCCGCGGCCUAUCAGCUUGUUGGUGGGGUGAUGGCCUACCAAGGCGACGACGGGUAGCCGGCCUGAGAGGGCGACCGGCCACACUGGGACUGAGACACGGCCCAGACUCCUACGGGAGGCAGCAGUGGGGAAUAUUGCACAAUGGGCGAAAGCCUGAUGCAGCGACGCCGCGUGAGGGAUGACGGCCUUCGGGUUGUAAACCUCUUUCAGCAGGGAAGAAGCGAGAGUGACGGUACCUGCAGAAGAAGCGCCGGCUAACUACGUGCCAGCAGCCGCGGUAAUACGUAGGGCGCAAGCGUUGUCCGGAAUUAUUGGGCGUAAAGAGCUCGUAGGCGGCUUGUCGCGUCGGAUGUGAAAGCCCGGGGCUUAACCCCGGGUCUGCAUUCGAUACGGGCAGGCUAGAGUUCGGUAGGGGAGAUCGGAAUUCCUGGUGUAGCGGUGAAAUGCGCAGAUAUCAGGAGGAACACCGGUGGCGAAGGCGGAUCUCUGGGCCGAUACUGACGCUGAGGAGCGAAAGCGUGGGGAGCGAACAGGAUUAGAUACCCUGGUAGUCCACGCCGUAAACGUUGGGAACUAGGUGUGGGCGACAUUCCACGUCGUCCGUGCCGCAGCUAACGCAUUAAUUGCCCCGCCUGGGGAGUACGGCCGC
rnacentral:rRNA from 1 species